CCUUACGACCACACCGGCCUGAGUACGCCUGAUCUCGUCUGAUCUCGGAAGCUAAGCAGGGUCGGGCCCUGGUUUGUACUUGGAUUGGGAGACCGCCUGGGAAUACCAGGUGCUGUAAGAU
rnacentral:rRNA from 1 species